ensembl:lncRNA
UGUACACUCCGCUGCUCCUCUGGAAUGCACUGCUACCAGGAUGGUAAACUCUCAGCACCAGUAAGGAAUUAGAGAGGUGGAGUUUAAAGGAAAGGAAGACAUUUACUUGGAAAAGGAUGGGAAAAGAGAAGACAGACAGCUACUCUGGAAGAUCAAGGGGCAUCGGAAAGGGAUUGAACUCAGGACCUCAUGCUUGCCAGGCAGGCACUGUGCACUGAGCUACAUUCCCUACCCAUGCCUUCCUUUAUUUCAAAUGCCACUGCUUUGAUUCCUUACUGGUGCUGAGAGUUUACAAUCCUGGUAGGUGUGUGUCCCAGCAGAGCAGUGGUGUAUACAUUCCACCCUGAUGCAAUAAAACCAUGCUGUAUGCAAGAAAACUGAAGCACAGAUAGUAAUCAGUAUUUGUUCAGUGGCCAAGCUGGUGCUCAAAUAAGAAGCUAAUUCCAGAACCCUGGCUCCUUACAUCAUAAUCCAGUAUCUUCUAUAUAUAAGGAAAUCAUGUGAAGAAAAGAAAAGGUGCUUUGCACAAGGACCUGGUUUAGCUAAAUUCUACUGUAGUAACAUUAUUCAUCAUUUAAAAUUCAGAAUGCUCUAACUGCAGAACUAAUCAAGAUAAACUGAAAAGCACUGGUAUUGUUCACAAUUGCUGAAAGUCUUGGCUCAAAUAAGAGGUGCAGAUUUAGAAAUGUUUUGAUAAAGAUUUGAUUUCAGAUAUUGCAGAAUAAAAUGGUUUUGCCUUAUUAUAUUUAGUAAGCAAAAUUAUUCUGUGAAAUUAGGUUAUUUAGAAAUUAUUUGAGAAGAUUAUAAAAAAUUCAGUCUAUUCUGAUGCAUUUGGACGUUUUAUUCCUUUAUUCAGUAAUGCUGGGUUCUUGUUUUUGUUUUUUUUGGUACUGGGGAGGGGAUCAAACUUGGGACCUUGCGCUUGUGAGACAGGUGGCAGAACCACUGAGCUAAAUCUCUGGCCCUAUUCAAUAAUGCUGUUAGCAGUUUGGGGAAAAUGUUAUGCAACUUGGUACAAUUAUGAAGAUUAUACCUUCAGCAACCAUAGUAGGAAUUUGUAGUGGCCUUGGUUCUGUCUAGUAAGGGCAAUGACAAGCCAGGGGUGGUGGUACAUGCCUGUAAUCCCAGCAUUUGGGAGGAUGAAGCAGGAGAAUUGCUGUGAUUUUGUUCCUUUUUUUUUUUUUUCAGUACCAGGGAUCGAACUCAGGACCUUGUGCUUGCCAGGCAGGUGUGGUGCCACUGAACUAAAUCCCUGGCCCAGGAAUGCUAUGAUUUUAUUGCCAGCCUUGGUAACACAGUGAACUCAAGGCCAGUCUGAACUGUACAGUGAGGCCGUCUCUGAGAGAAAGGCAGACAGACAGACAGACACAGAGAGAGAAAGACACAGAGACAUAGAAAGAAACAAAAACCGGCAAUGAACUUCAUGAGUUCUUCACUCUAACAAGAGCUUUAGUAUUCUUCAUACCUCAGGUGUUCUAAUUAGCUUUUGUGUUAUGGUUCUAAUUAUCUUAAUAUGCAUCCUUUCAUCAUAAAAUACUUUAAGUUUGGAUCUUACUAAUUCAGAACUCAUUAUAAUUCAUACACUGAACCCAAAUUACCUUGGCUCAAGUACACAGAGAGGGAAAGGCUUUAGCUAAAUAAUGUGACUCACACCCAACACGCUGCAGAGUUUUGAUUAUUUACUUUGCAAAACCAUAAGCUUAUUCCAUUUACAAAGCUAUAGCAUAGCAGAAAGCCUUUUCCACUUUCCAGCAUGCACUGUACAGCCAACAGCAUGUUUAUGAAAGAAAGCAGGUUGGUGCCCAGUGAAUCAGAAUUCUCCAGCUUCCCAUUGUCAAGCAUCUAUGGACCUGAGGACUUGCCUGGAUGUCCUUGCCCAAGUCAGUCAGGAGCUACAAGUUCAUAUGUUUUUUCAAAUAAUAAAACUGAGUAUUGCAC